rnacentral:rRNA from 1 species
UACAGAGGGUGCGAGCGUUAAUCGGAAUUACUGGCGUAAAGCGCGCGUAGGCGGCUUUGCAAGUCGGGUGUGAAAUCCCCAGGCUUAACCUGGGAACUGCAUUCGAGACUGCAUUGCUAGAGUAUGGGAGAGGGAAGUGGAAUUUCCGGUGUAGCGGUGAAAUGCGUAGAUAUCGGAAGGAACAUCAGUGGCGAAAGCGACUUCCUGGACCAAUACUGACGCUCAUGUGCGAAAGCGUGGGGAGCAAACAGG